rnacentral:tRNA from 1 species
GGAUGGGUGCCAGAGUGGUCGAUUGGGCACGCCUGGAGAGCGUGUGUACCCGCAAGGUACCGAGGGUUCGAAUCCCUCCCCAUCCGCCA